rnacentral:lncRNA from 1 species
GUUUGAUAGAAUGAGAAUGUUAGAAUUUUCACAGUGCUUAAAGACUGGUAAUUAAACUAUAACUAGCAAGGUAAGAACAAAAUAACCACAUCUUAAGUACAGUUUGACUUUCAUGACUAAAGAUAAAAAUUACAGGGAGGUAGGAUUUUAUUUCACUAUAAAGAUGAACUUCCUAACGAAAUGAGAAACUGAUUACAUCUGCUUAUUUGGACAGUGAAUGGAACCACAUAUUCUGCCUGUUGGCAAACACCAAAUCUGUAUAGUUUAUUUUCUUCAAAGGGAAUCAUGAUUGCCAACAAUCACUCAGCACCAACAAUUUACUGAAUGUUUAUCUGCCUGCAUUCUUCUUGUGGCUGGAAAUGUAGCAGUGAACCAGACCGAGACCCUGAUCCGCUGGGUAUAUAGCUGGGGGAGUCAGACAUUCAUGAAAAUGACUUCUAGUGCCACAGAUAUUUCAAAAGAUGCAGUAAAGAGUUCUGUGGGUCUGAAUGAUAUGGUGUGCUAACCAAAUAUGUGAAGGUGGCGAAGGUCUCCUAGAAGAAUUGGUGCAAAACUUGAGUCUCAAAGGAUGAGCUGGGUGAGGAGUUGGGCACAGUAUUCUGGGCAGUGGGAACAUCAUGGACAGAAGCCUGAAUGCAGCGGAGAGACUGACUCACUUGUGGGCAUGAAGGAGAUCAGCAUGACUGGAUUGGAGCUCACUUCCUGGUGUUUUCACCUCAUUGCAUCCCUGGUUGGUUUCUGUUGCUUGCAAUGAAAGAACCCUUACAAAUGCAAUAAUGCAGAAGUAACAAUGAAGAUGACACUGAUUCACACAAGAUUUAAUUUGUUACAUGAGUAAAUAAACAAAGCAAAAUGAACAGAAUUUACUAUACUGCAUCCCUGCUGGGAGUAUGUUGAGCUAUCUGGCCUGGAAGGCCUUUGUGACCUGUUGAAAGAAUAUACAUGGAUUUACUUCAGGAGAAAAAUAAAGUGUUAUUUUAAAAAUGGAUCAUGUUCAUUGUAAUUAAGAAUAAAGGUUGUAAAAACUAUGGAUUGUGGCCGGGCUUG